GACGAACGCUGGCGGCGUGCUUAACACAUGCAAGUCGAACGAUGAAGAAGAGAAACGCGAACUUCGGUUCAAAUUUCACUUCGGAUUAGUGGCAGACGGGUGAGUAACGCGUGAGCAACCUACCUCUUACAAAGGGAUAGCCUCGGGAAACCGUGAUUAAUACCAUAUGACACAUUCAUAAGGCAUCUUAAGAAUGUUAAAGCUACGGCAGUAAGAGAUGGGCUCGCGUCCCAUUAGCUAGUUGGUGAGGUAACGGCCCACCAAGGCGACGAUGGGUAACCGGCCUGAGAGGGUGAACGGUCACAUUGGAACUGAGACACGGUCCAAACUCCUACGGGAGGCAGCAGUGGGGAAUAUUGCACAAUGGAGGGAACUCUGAUGCAGCGACGCCGCGUGAGCGAUGAAGGAAUUCGUUUCGUAAAGCUCUGUUCUAUGGGAAGAAAAGGACUGUACCAUAGGAGAAAGCCCCGGCUAAAUACGUG
rnacentral:rRNA from 1 species